rnacentral:rRNA from 1 species
GAUGAACGCUGGCGGCGUGCCUAAUACAUGCAAGUCGAGCGAACAGACGAGGAGCUUGCUCCUCUGACGUUAGCGGCGGACGGGUGAGUAACACGUGUAUAACCUACCUAUAUGUCUGGGAUAACUUCGGGAAACCGGAGCUAAUACCGGAUAACAUGCUGAACCGCAUUGUUCAAUAGUGAAAGACGGUCUUGCUGUCACUUAUAGAUGGAUCCGCGCCGCAUUAGCUAGUUGGUAAGGUAACGGCUUACCAAGGCUACGAUGCGUAGCCGACCUGAGAGGGUGAUCGGCCACACUGGAACUGAGACACGGUCCAGACUCCUACGGGAGGCAGCAGUAGGGAAUCUUCCGCAAUGGGCGAAAGCCUGACGGAGCAACGCCGCGUGAGUGAAGAAGGUCUUCGGAUCGUAAAGCCCUGUUAUUGGGGAAGAACAAAUGUGGAAGUAAAUAUGCACGUCUUGACGGUACCUAAUCAGAAAGCAACGGCUAACUACGUG